rnacentral:rRNA from 1 species
CCUACGGGAGGCAGCAGUGAGGAAUAUUGGUCAAUGGACGAGAGUCUGAACCAGCCAAGUAGCGUGAAGGAUGACUGCCCUAUGGGUUGUAAACUUCUUUUAUAUGGGAAUAAAACGUUCCACGUGUGGGAUUUUGUAUGUACCAUAUGAAUAAGGAUCGGCUAACUCCGUGCCAGCAGCCGCGGUAAUACGGAGGAUCCGAGCGUUAUCCGGAGUUAUUGGGUUUAAAGGGAGCGUAGGUGGAUUGUUAAGUCAGUUGUGAAAGUUUGCGGCUCAACCGUAAAAUUGCAGUUGAAACUGGCAGUCUUGAGUACAGUAGAGGUGGGCGGAAUUCGUGGUGUAGCGGUGAAAUGCUUAGAUAUCACGAAGAACUCCGAUUGCGAAGGCAGUUCACUGGACUGCAACUGACACUGAGGCUCGAAAGUGUGGGUAUCAAACAGGAUUAGAUACCCUAGUAGUC